UAUAACUCAUAUCCUCCUCCGCUAUACAAUUUUGUUAUAAAUUUUUUUAGAAAAAAUACUCAGUAAGAUAUUAGUUUUCAGUGUAAUUCAACCGAUGCAGAAUUAUUUUUGACAAGCAAAUAAAGAAUCUGUCGACUCAAGUUGAAUCCUAUGACAUAUGUACGUACUAGUGCUUUCAAAAAAGUAGAGAUUUGUAUAAUAUACAUGACUCAGUCAGUCGCUCAUAAGUAAAGGAAUGCACAUGAUGGCUGCUACAAAAAAAAUGAAUUUUUUUUUUUAGUGGAGAGCUUCACAACGAUGCUAUAUUAAGAAGCCUCCAAGCCGCUGCUACAUAUUAGUUUUGUCUGUAUCAAAUAAUUCGUUGAGUGUUUUUUAGUACUAAAAUUUUUUAAAAAAAUUAUAAUUUUUGUAUACUAACACACGACAACGAAUCGAAAAAUUCUUAAUGGAGGAAUUCUGUGCUGAUGCUUUUUCUAGAAAAAAUGGAAAAAAUGUAUUGUGUUACGUACACCGCAUCAUUAAAAAUAAGCCAAUCAUAUUUAUUUAUUUUGGAAAAAAAAAAUUAUAAUAAAAAUAUUUUUUUGUAAUGAUGAUGAGUCAGAUAAAUUUACAAAAAAAUUAUUUAAGAAUUUUUUCUUCAAUAUU
rnacentral:lncRNA from 1 species